rnacentral:rRNA from 1 species
AUUGAACGCUGGCGGCAGGCCUAACACAUGCAAGUCGAACGAGUGGCGGACGGGUGAGUAAUGUCUGGGACACUGCCUGCUGGAGGGGGAUAACUACUGGAAACGGUAGCUAAUACCGCAUACCAUCGGAUGUGCCCAGAUGGGAUUAGCUAGUAGGUGGGGUAACGGCUCACCUAGGCGACGAUCCCUAGCUGGUCUGAGAGGAGGACGAGCGACACUGGAACGGAGAGACGGGCCAGACUCCGACGGGAGGCAGCAGUGGGGAAUAUUGCACAAUGGGCGCAAGGCUGAUGCAGCCAGGCCGCGUGUAUGAAGAAGGCCUUCGGGUUGUAAAGUACUUUCAGCGGGGAGGCGGUAGCCGCAGAAGAAGCACCGGCUAACUCCGUGCCAGCAGCCGCGGUAAUUC